GAACGAAAGUCUUCGGAUUUUAGUGGCGGACGGGUGAGUAACGCGUGAGGAUCUGCCUAUAGGUUGGGGACAACAGAUGGAAACGUCUGCUAAUACCCAAUGUGCCGAGAGGUGAAAGCUUUAGUGCCUGUAGAUGAGCUCGCGUCCGAUUAGCUAGUUGGUAGGGUAAAGGCUUACCAAGGCGACGAUCGGUAGCUGGUCUGAGAGGAUGAUCAGCCACACUGGGACUGAGACACGGCCCAGACUCCUACGGGAGGCAGCAGUGGGGAAUUUUCCGCAAUGGGCGAAAGCCUGACGGAGCAAUACCGCGUGCGGGACGAAGGCUUUUGGGUCGUAAACCGCUUUUGUUAGGGAAGAACGCAAUGACGGUACCUAACGAAUCAGCAUCGGCUAACUCCGUGCCAGCAGCCGCGGUAAUACGGGGGAUGCAAGCGUUAUCCGGAAUUAUUGGGCGUAAAGCGUCCGCAGGUGGUUUAUCAAGUCUGCUGUUAAAUCGUAGGGCUUAACCCCUAUAAAGGCAGUGGAAAACUGAGAGACUAGAGUAUGGUAGGGGU
rnacentral:rRNA from 1 species